rnacentral:rRNA from 1 species
UACGUAGGGUGCGAGCGUUAAUCGGAAUUACUGGGCGUAAAGCGUGCGCAGGCGGUUUUUUAAGACAGAUGUGAAAUCCCCGGGCUUAACCUGGGAACUGCGUUUGGGACUGCAAGACUAGAGUACGGCAGAGGGGGGUAGAAUUCCACGUGUAGCAGUGAAAUGCGUAGAGAUGUGGAGGAAUACCGAUGGCGAAGGCAGCCCCCUGGGUCGAUACUGACGCUCAUGCACGAAAGCGUGGGGAGCAAACAGG